rnacentral:tRNA from 1 species
AGGAGUAUAGUUCAGUUGGUAGAAUGUUUGUUUCACAUGCACAGAGUCCUGGGUUCGAUCCCCAGCAUCCCUA